UACAGAGGGUGCAAGCAUUAAUCGGAUUUAUUGGGCGUAAAGAGCGCGCAGGCGGGCUUUUAAGUCAGAUGUGAAAUCCCGGGGCUCAACCCCGGAACAGCAUUUGAAACUGAGAGUCUUGAGGGUAGUCGGAGAAAGUGGAAUUCCACGUGUAGCGGUGAAAUGCGUAGAUAUGUGGAAGAACACCGGUGGCGAAGGCGACUUUCUAGAUUAUUCCUGACGCUGAGGCGCGAAAGCAAGGGGAUCAAACAGG
rnacentral:rRNA from 1 species